rnacentral:rRNA from 1 species
UACGUAGGGGGCAAGCGUUGUCCGGAUUUAUUGGGCGUAAAGAGCGUGUAGGCGGCUUUACAGGUCCGUUGUGAAAACUCGAGGCUCAACCUCGAGACGCCGGUGGAAACCGUAAAGCUAGAGUCCGGAAGAGGAGAGUGGAAUUCCUGGCGUAGCGGUGAAAUGCGCAAAUAUCAGGAAGAACACCCGUGGCGAAGGCGGCUCUCUGGGACGGUACUGACGCUGAGACGCGAAAGCGUGGGGAGCGAACAGG